rnacentral:rRNA from 1 species
UCCGUAGGUGAACCUGCGGAGGGAUCAUUACAGAGUUGCAAAACUCCCACAAACCAUCGCGAAUCUUACCCGUACGGUUGCCUCGGCGCUGGCGGUCCGGAAAGGCCCUCGGGCCCUCCCGGAUCCUCGGGUCUCCCGCUCGCGGGAGGCUGCCCGCCGGAGUGCCGAAACUAAACUCUUGAUAUUUUAUGUCUCUCUGAGUAAACUUUUAAAUAAGUCAAAACUUUCAACAACGGAUCUCUUGGUUCUGGCAUCGAUGAAGAACGCAGCGAAAUGCGAUAAGUAAUGUGAAUUGCAGAAUUCAGUGAAUCAUCGAAUCUUUGAACGCACAUUGCGCUCGCCAGUAUUCUGGCGAGCAUGCCUGUUCGAGCGUCAUUUCAACCAUCAAGCUCUGCUUGCGUUGGGGAUCCGCGGCUGUCCGCGGUCCCUCAAAAUCAGUGGCGGGCUCGCUAGUCACACCGAGCGUAGUAACUCUACAUCGCUAAGGUCGUGCGGCGGGUUCUUGCCGUAAAACCCCCCAUUUCUAAGGUUGACCUCGGAUCAGGUAGGAAUACCCGCUGAACUUAAGCAUAUCAAUAAGCGGAGGAA